rnacentral:rRNA from 1 species
ACGAACGCUGGCGGCGUGCUUAACACAUGCAAGUCGCACGAAAAGAGGGAAAGAGCUUGCUCUUUCCGGAAUUGAGUGGCAAACGGGUGAGUAACACGUAAACAACCUGCCUUCAGGAUGGGGACAACAGACGGAAACGACUGCUAAUACCGAAUAAGUUCCAAGGGCCGCAUGGCCCAUGGAAGAAAAGGUGGCCUCUACCUGUAAGCUAUCGCCUGAAGAGGGGUUUGCGUCUGAUUAGCUGGUUGGAGGGGUAACGGCCCACCAAGGCGACGAUCAGUAGCCGGUCUGAGAGGAUGAACGGCCACACUGGAAUUGAGACACGGUCCAGACUCCUACGGGAGGCAGCAGUGGGGAAUCUUCCGCAAUGGGCGAAAGCCUGACGGAGCAACGCCGCGUGAGUGAUGACGGCCUUCGGGUUGUAAAACUCUGUGAUCCGGGACGAAAAGGCAGAGUGCGAAGAACAAACUGCAUUGACGGUACCGGAAAAGCAAGCCACGGCUAACUACGUG